GAGACGUUAGUAAAACUAUUACAUAGUCUUGUCAAGACUAAAUUGCAAGUGAAACCCUUGCACAUCUCU
rnacentral:tRNA from 1 species